GAUAGGAACUUGGGUUUGGUAUCAGUCUGUGUCCUCGAGUUGCCUGAACUUCCUCCAUUGUCUGCGCUAUCUAAAACAUUGGCCUUCGUUAAUGAAUCUGUCGGUUUACUUGGAUGUUCAUUGGAAACCUUUCUCCUCUUUGAAUUAUUUCUCAACGUUUCACUAUUGGCANNNNNNNNNNNGAAAUCAUCAUCAUCAUCCGAAUACUCAUCAGGAAUCCUUCUUAUAACUUCUUUUGAUCUCCGUUCAAAUAUUGAUUUUAUAAGUGCUUCAUCCUCUUCUUCCAACUUCUUCUCCUUUUCCGCAGCUGUUUGCUGCAAGGCCUCAAGCA
rnacentral:misc_RNA from 1 species